UACGUCAACAUCCUUAACGAAUUUAACCCGUUCUAACCUAUUAACCAUCGACUUUGAUAACCGUAAGCACGCUUUCGGCACCAGAGCAACGAUCAGAGAUCAGACAAGUAGCCCCGAAGGGUAUCCGUUGCAAUCCUCAAUCCCGAUAAUCACAUCUACCAAAGGCUAUAACACUUCAAUACGAGAUCGAAGUUACAUUCCUCCAGUCAUUUUAUGACGACCAAAAUUGAUGUUAACUUACCACACGAAUAAGUACACCCCAAGUACACGAAUAUACAGGCAUGAAGGCGAUUAGCUCCUCACGCUCCACAAAAUCGCAUCCUAAAGGCUGAUUAUCCGCAGGUACGACUGGCUUCAAUCGUUUCCCUUUCAACAAUUUCACGUACUAUUUAACUCUCUUUUCAAAGUUCUUUUCAUCUUUCCCUCACGGUACUUGUUCGCUAUCGGUCUCUCGCCGAUAUUUAGCCUUAGGAGAAAUUUACCUCCCAUUUUGAGCUGCAAUCCCAAACAACUCGACUCUUAGAGAGCGUAUCGUAGAGCGUCAUAAGGUCAACCGAACGGGAUUCUCACCCUCCAUGAUACCUUAUCCCAAAGGAUUUGGGCCAACCAAGACGCAGAAAACGCUUCUUCAAAUUACAAUUCUGAUAAGUAAAACCUAGCAGAUUUAAAAUUUGAGCUUUUCCCCCUUCACUCGCCGUUACUAAGGGAAUCAUUGUUAUUUUCUUUUCCUCCGCUUAUUGAUAUCG
rnacentral:rRNA from 1 species